rnacentral:rRNA from 1 species
UUCCGUAGGUGAACCUGCGGAAGGAUCAUUAAUGAAACUUCAAAGUCGGCCAAAGGUUGUUGCUGGUGAUUAUUCACAUGUGCACRCCUUUGGUCGCAAAUCCACACACACCUGUGCAUCUAUGACUCGAGGUUGUAAUGACUGAGAGUAACUUUUAUACACUCUUGUAUGUAAUGGAAUGUCUUUUUGUGCUAUAAUGUACAAUAUAAACAACUUUCAACAACGGAUCUCUUGGCUCUCGCAUCGAUGAAGAACGCAGCGAAAUGCGAUAAGUAAUGUGAAUUGCAGAAUUCAGUGAAUCAUCGAAUCUUUGAACGCACCUUGCACCCUUUGGUAUUCCGAAGGGUACGCCCGUUUGAGUGUCAUUGUAAUCUCACUUCUACAACUUUAUUGUUGUUUGAAUGUGGACUUGGAUGUUGCCGUUUUAUCACGGCUCGUCUUAAAUGCCUGAGUGUACCCUGUUUUGCAGCGUAUCCAGUGUAAUAAACAUUUCACUAGAGUUGGUUGAAAGACCACGUUGACUAUAUGGGCUCUAUGCUUCAAACCGUCUGCCAUGUGGACAAUUUCUUGACAAUUUGACCUCAAAUCGGGUGGGACUACCCGCUGAACUUAAGCAUAUCAAUAAGCGGAGGAAAAGAAACUAACAAGGAUUCCCCUAGUAACGGCGAGUGAAGAGGGAAAAGCUCAAAUUUUAAAUCUGGUGUCUUUGACUCCCGAGUUGUAAUCUAGAGAAGUGUUUUCCGUGUCGGACCGUGUACAAGUUCCCUGGAACGGGGCGUCAUAGAGGGUGAGAAUCCCGUAUAUGCCACGGACUACCGAUGCUCUGUGAUACACUCUCAACGAGUCGAGUUGUUUGGGAAUGCAGCUCAAAAUGGGUGGUAAAUUCCAUCUAAAGCUAAAUAUUGGYGAGAGACCGAUAGCGAACAAGUACCGUGAGGGAAAGAUGAAAAGCACUUUGGAAAGAGAGUGAAACAGUACGUGAAAUUGUUGAAAGGGAAGCGUUUGAAGUCAGUCGCAUCUGUUGGGGUUCAGCCUGGCUUUUGCCUGGUGUAUUUCCUUUCCGAUGGGUCAGCAUCAGUUUCGACCGAGGGAAAAAGACAUUUGGAAUGUGGCUGUCUUCGGGCAGUGUUAUAGCCUUGUGUUGUAUGUCUCGGUUGGGACUGAGGAUUGCAGCGCGCCAUAAAUGGCCGGGGGUCGCUCCUCUCGACACGCGCUUAGGAUGCUGGCAUAAUGGCUUUAAGCGACCCGUC